UACGGAGGGGGCUAGCGUUGUUCGGAAUUACUGGGCGUAAAGCGCGCGUAGGCGGAUCUGCAAGUCGGGGGUGAAAUCCCGAGGCUCAACCUCGGAACUGCCUUCGAUACUGCGGGUCUCGAGUCCGGGAGAGGUGAGUGGAAUUCCUAGUGUAGAGGUGAAAUUCGUAGAUAUUAGGAAGAACACCAGUGGCGAAGGCGGCUCACUGGCCCCGGUACUGACGCUGAGG
rnacentral:rRNA from 1 species